rnacentral:rRNA from 1 species
UGGGGAAUAUUGCACAAUGGGCGCAAGCCUGAUGCAGCCAUGCCGCGUGUGUGAAGAAGGCCUUCGGGUUGUAAAGCACUUUCAGCGAGGAGGAAGGUGGUGGACUUAAUACGUUCAUCAAUUGACGUUACUCGCAGAAGAAGCACCGGCUAACUCCGUGCCAGCAGCCGCGGUAAUACGGAGGGUGCAAGCGUUAAUCGGAAUUACUGGGCGUAAAGCGCACGCAGGCGGUUUGUUAAGUCAGAUGUGAAAUCCCCGGGCUCAACCUGGGAACUGCAUUUGAAAACUGGCAAGCUAGAGUCUCGUAGAGGGGGGUAGAAAUUCCAGGUGUAGCGGUGAAAAUGCGUAGAGAUCUGGAGGAAUACCGGUGGCGAAGGCGGCCCCCUGGACGAAGACUGACGCUCAGGUGCGAAAAGCGUGGGGAGCAAAACAGGAUUAGAUACCCUGGUAGUCCACGCUGUAAAACGAUGUCGAUUUUGGAGGUUGUGCCCUUGAGGCGUGGCUUCCGGAGCUAACGCGUUAAAAUCGACCGCCUGGGGAGUAACGGCCGC